rnacentral:rRNA from 1 species
UUAGUGCCUUCAAAAACUCUGAGACAGGUGCUGCAUGGCUGUCGUCAGCUCGUGUUGUGAAAUGUUGGGUUAAGUCCCGUAACGAGCGCAACCCUUGUCCUUAGUUACUAACAUUAAGUUGAGAACUCUAAGGAGACUGCCGGUGACAAACCGGAGGAAGGCGGGGACGACGUCAAGUCAUCAUGGCCCUUACGAGUAGGGCUACACACGUGCUACAAUGGCCAGUACAGAGGGUUGCCAAGCCGCGAGGUGGAGCUAAUCCCAUAAAGCUGGUCGUAGUCCGGAUUGGAGUCUGCAACUCGACUCCAUGAAGUCGGAAUCGCUAGUAAUCGUGAAUCAGAAUGUCACGGUGAAUACGUUCCCGGGCCUU